rnacentral:rRNA from 1 species
UACGAAGGGGGCUAGCGUUGCUCGGAAUCACUGGGCGUAAAGCGCACGUAGGCGGAUCUUUAAGUCAGGGGUGAAAUCCUGGAGCUCAACUCCAGAACUGCCUUUGAUACUGAGGAUCUCGAGUCCGGGAGAGGUGAGUGGAACUCCGAGUGUAGAGGUGAAAUUCGUAGAUAUUCGGAAGAACACCAGUGGCGAAGGCGGCUGACUGGACAUGUAUUGACGCUGAGGUGCGAAAGCGUGGGGAGCAAACAGG